UAGAUACUUAAUUAUGCUGCUGCGUGAUCGGCGUGGUACAGAGCAGCCAGUCGUCUAGCUCCCAGGAGCACAGCAGAGCGGGAAACGAUAUUGCCCUAAAUUUUGAAAUGUGAUGUCACAAAGCUUUUGACCCCCCUGUCCCUUGUCACACAAUGUCACUUCUGAAUGAUACCCUCCCCCCCCUUCAAGGUGUGACAAAAUUUAUGGAUGGCCCUUAUAUAAUAUAAAUAAAGUUAAAUAAAUAAAUUGCGAGAGUAUAAAAUGUUCGGUUACACCCGAACUUAGCCCUUCCUUACUUGUUUUAUAUGAUAUUAUUCUUAUAGUUUGAAUGGGGGGGUUGGAUAGAGGAAAAUAUAACGACAAAUAAUGUUCAGCUGGUUUAUCGCUUUCUUAAAGUUUUAUACAAAGACUUACUGAAAGUUUUGACGUUCCAACUAUGACCAUGAGAAGUAUUUUUGCGCAUAUAAUGGCAAUUACUGUUAUAUGGGAGCUAUAGGACCUAGUAGUCCGAUGGGGCCAAUUUUUUUUAUUAUAUAUUUAAUAUAUUAUAAUAAUAUAAUAUAAUAUAAUAAUAUUUUUCUGGAUUUUUGGUCAAAAUUUCAUAGCGAUAUCUCAACGGGAAGUAUUUAUGACCGCGCCUUCAUACAAGCCGAACCAAUGUGCAGUGGCAGGCCAAAAAAGAUUACAUCAAGACUGGAAAGGAUGAUAAUAAAAAAAAAUUAUAAUAAACCACAGUGCAGCCUUAUGCCUAAUACCUGAGACAGACAUGUAGUACAUAUUGUAGUAUGCUUCAGAAACCAUAUGUGUAUCACCGGUUUUCCGAAUUUUGUUUGAAAGCAAAUGGUGUUCCGUACUACAAUAGAGUUUUAGAAACCAUUGGAAUUUUGUGGUGUUGUGAAAUGUACUACAAUGGAAUGCAUUGAACACACCGAAAGCUUUAAGCUCUUUUCUUGUAAUCAUAUGUUUUCUGUCAUUUUGACAUCAACAAACAAAUUAAAUUCAAAACCAAACAAAAGUGAAACAUGGAAAAAAAUAGGAAAAAAUACGUUGGAAACGCUGGAAUAUAAAAAAUAAUUGAAGUGUGGGAACAAUUUAACCUAAAAUUGCGUGGCAUUCACAAAAAUAGCCACAUUUACGCUGUACACAUUGUACACAGCUGGGAAAGGAGCACGGAGUUUCCCUGACAACGGACGAGCUGCGUAGCCGAAUUAAUAACAUGGCGAAGAAAUACAGACAGGAAAGGAAGACUAUUGGUCCAAGUGGAGGUGCCCCAUCUAAUUGAGAGUUCUACGAGGAGCCCACAAGAUAAUUGGCGGUUAUAAGUCAAAUUUCACACAAGAAUUGGCGGACGAGAGCAUUGAAGAUGGUUUAUUAAAAAUAUCAAAUGAUUUAUUUAUGUACAUACAUAUGUACAUAAAUACAUUUUUAAUCAAAUUAUAUACAUAUGUAUGUUUUUAUUCCACAGGUUCGGAUUCAUUAGUUGCUUCAGCUGACAUGUCGGCAAAUGAAGAUGAAACAGAUAAGAUACCAUCCACUCCAUCGUCUGCAAAGAAGAAAAAAACGGAUAAUAAUGAAGAAUUGCUCGAAUUGGCUAGAAAAGAGCAAAAGUUGAUAGAACAUUAUUUAAAUAAAUCUAUUGACAACUACAUUCUUUUGACUAUGUUAAAUAAAAAUACUUAAUUUAAGUACUUUAAUGUAUAUGCAUAUUCUACAAUAUAACAUUUAAGUUACGUACUGUGUAAAAAAUAA